GUUCUACACCUACGAUGGACCUGUCCUCUUGUGCCUACUGAACUGAUAUCAGUUCUAUUUCACACACUGGCUCAGUUCAGCAGGAACAGGAGUCGGGCCCUUGAGCAAAGCGCAACUUU
rnacentral:precursor_RNA from 14 species